GCGUUGCUCGGAAUUACUGGGCGUAAAGGGCGCGUAGGCGGACAUUUAAGUUAGAGGUGCAAGCCCAGGGCUCAACCUUGGAAUAGCCUUUAAUACUGGAUGUCUUGAGUUCGGGAGAGGUGAGUGGAAUGCCGAGUGUAGAGGUGAAAUUCGUAGAUAUUCGGCGGAACACCAGUGGCGAAGGCGACUCACUGGCCCGAUACUGACGCUGAGGCGCGAAAGCGUG
rnacentral:rRNA from 1 species